GGGUUGUGAGGUUAAGCGACUAAGCGUACACGGUGGAUGCCCUGGCAGUCAGAGGCGAUGAAGGACGUGCUAAUCUGCGAUAAGCGUCGGUGAGGUGAUAUGAACCGUUAUAACCGGCGAUUUCCGAAUGGGGAAACCCAGUGUGUUUCGACACACUAUCAUUAACUGAAUCCAUAGGUUAAUGAGGCGAACCGGGGGAACUGAAACAUCUAAGUACCCCGAGGAAAAGAAAUCAACCGAGAUUCCCCCAGUAGCGGCGAGCGAACGGGGAGGAGCCCAGAGCCUGAAUCAGUGUGUGUGUUAGUGGAAGCGUCUGGAAAGGCGCGCGAUACAGGGUGACAGCCCCGUACACAAAAAUGCACAUAUUGUGAGCUCGAUGAGUAGGGCGGGACACGUGGUAUCCUGUCUGAAUAUGGGGGGACCAUCCUCCAAGGCUAAAUACUCCUGACUGACCGAUAGUGAACCAGUACCGUGAGGGAAAGGCGAAAAGAACCCCGGCGAGGGGAGUGAAAAAGAACCUGAAACCGUGUACGUACAAGCAGUGGGAGCCUCUUUAUGGGGUGACUGCGUACCUUUUGUAUAAUGGGUCAGCGACUUAUAUUCUGUAGCAAGGUUAACCGAAUAGGGGAGCCGAAGGGAAACCGAGUCUUAACUGGGCGUUAAGUUGCAGGGUAUAGACCCGAAACCCGGUGAUCUAGCCAUGGGCAGGUUGAAGGUUGGGUAACACUAACUGGAGGACCGAACCGACUAAUGUUGAAAAAUUAGCGGAUGACUUGUGGCUGGGGGUGAAAGGCCAAUCAAACCGGGAGAUAGCUGGUUCUCCCCGAAAGCUAUUUAGGUAGCGCCUCGUGAAUUCAUCUCCGGGGGUAGAGCACUGUUUCGGCAAGGGGGUCAUCCCGACUUACCAACCCGAUGCAAACUGCGAAUACCGGAGAAUGUUAUCACGGGAGACACACGGCGGGUGCUAACGUCCGUCGUGAAGAGGGAAACAACCCAGACCGCCAGCUAAGGUCCCAAAGUCAUGGUUAAGUGGGAAACGAUGUGGGAAGGCCCAGACAGCCAGGAUGUUGGCUUAGAAGCAGCCAUCAUUUAAAGAAAGCGUAAUAGCUCACUGGUCGAGUCGGCCUGCGCGGAAGAUGUAACGGGGCUAAACCAUGCACCGAAGCUGCGGCAGCGACACUAUGUGUUGUUGGGUAGGGGAGCGUUCUGUAAGCCUGUGAAGGUGGCCUGUGAGGGUUGCUGGAGGUAUCAGAAGUGCGAAUGCUGACAUAAGUAACGAUAAAGCGGGUGAAAAGCCCGCUCGCCGGAAGACCAAGGGUUCCUGUCCAACGUUAAUCGGGGCAGGGUGAGUCGACCCCUAAGGCGAGGCCGAAAGGCGUAGUCGAUGGGAAACAGGUUAAUAUUCCUGUACUUGGUGUUACUGCGAAGGGGGGACGGAGAAGGCUAUGUUGGCCGGGCGACGGUUGUCCCGGUUUAAGCGUGUAGGCUGGUUUUCCAGGCAAAUCCGGAAAACCAAGGCUGAGGCGUGAUGACGAGGCACUACGGUGCUGAAGCGACAAAUGCCCUGCUUCCAGGAAAAGCCUCUAAGCAUCAGGUAACAUCAAAUCGUACCCCAAACCGACACAGGUGGUCAGGUAGAGAAUACCAAGGCGCUUGAGAGAACUCGGGUGAAGGAACUAGGCAAAAUGGUGCCGUAACUUCGGGAGAAGGCACGCUGAUAUGUAGGUGAAGCGACUUGCUCGUGGAGCUGAAAUCAGUCGAAGAUACCAGCUGGCUGCAACUGUUUAUUAAAAACACAGCACUGUGCAAACACGAAAGUGGACGUAUACGGUGUGACGCCUGCCCGGUGCCGGAAGGUUAAUUGAUGGGGUUAGCGGUAACGCGAAGCUCUUGAUCGAAGCCCCGGUAAACGGCGGCCGUAACUAUAACGGUCCUAAGGUAGCGAAAUUCCUUGUCGGGUAAGUUCCGACCUG
rnacentral:rRNA from 1 species